rnacentral:rRNA from 1 species
UUGUCUCAAAGAUUAAGCCAUGCAUGUCUCAGUACAAGCCGCACUAAGGUGAAACCGCGAAAGGCUCAUUAAAUCAGUUAUGGUUCCUUAGAUCGUACCCACAUUUACUUGGAUAACUGUGGUAAUUCUAGAGCUAAUACAUGCAAACAGAGCUCCGACCGGAGACGGGAGGAGUGCUUUUAUUAGAUCAAAACCAAUCGGCUGGCGGUGCGUUCGCGCGCCCGUCAGUCGCUCAACCUGGUGACUCUGAAUAACUUUACGCUGAUCGCACGGUCUCGCACCGGCGACGCAUCUUUCAAAUGUCUGCCUUAUCAACUGUCGAUGGUAGGUUCUGCGCCUACCAUGGUCGUAACGGGUAACGGGGAAUCAGGGUUCGAUUCCGGAGAGGGAGCCUGAGAAACGGCUACCACAUCCAAGGAAGGCAGCAGGCGCGCAAAUUACCCACUCCCGGCACGGGGAGGUAGUGACGAAAAAUAACGAUACGGGACUCAUCCGAGGCCCCGUAAUCGGAAUGAGUACACUUUAAAUCCUUUAACGAGGAUCAAUUGGAGGGCAAGUCUGGUGCCAGCAGCCGCGUAAUUCCAGCUCCAAUAGCGUA